UACGAGUGCCUCAAGCGUUAUCCGGAAUCAUUGGGCGUAAAGGAUGUGUAGGUGGUUGUGUUAGUCUUUUGUUAAAUUCUUCGGCUUAACCGGGGGCAUGCAAGGGAAACGGCACGACUAGAGGAUGCGAGGGGUCUGCGGAACUCAUAGUGUAGCGGUGAAAUGCGUUGAUAUUAUGGGGAACACCAAAAGCGAAGGCAGCAGACUGGAGCACUCCUGACACUGAGACAUGAAAGCGUGGGUCGCGAAUGGG
rnacentral:rRNA from 1 species